UAGCAGAAGGGAUUUCAUCGGUCUGGACGAAAAGCCAAGCGUUCAUGCCUUUCAUACAAGGCUUGAGAGCUUCCCAUUUGGUGCCUUCAAUGGCUUUGAAGACCAAAGUGUUCUUGGCGACGAUGAGCUUUGUAGUGUCGGGGAGAGUUCUCCGGAGGUCUUGAAACUGCUUGACGGUGAGGCCUUUGUAGUUGAUGGCGGCGAGGAGAUGGCAGUUCUCCAAGUGAGACUUGACGGCUUCGACAGUCUCUUCCUUCUUGUUACGAGACACCGCGGAUCUGAUGACCGGGAGGCGAGGGUAAUUUGGGGAAUUCGAGGUUUUGGGUGUGAGAGUUGAGAUUCGCUGGUGACAGAGAGGAGACAAGGAAGAAGAGAAGGAGAGAAGAGCCACUUCCAUUUUUUUGCUCAGAAGAUGAGGAGACUGUUUCUAGCUGUGUGGAGGAAGAAGAUAGAUG